ACCUCAAGUCAUGUGAGAGUACCCGCUGAACUUAAGCAUAUCAAUAAGCGGAGGAAAAGAAACUAACAAGGAUUCCCCUAGUAACGGCGAGUGAAGCGGGAAGAGCACAAAUUUAAAAUCUACCUGGUUUUCAGGUCGAGUUGUAAUUUGAAGAUACGUUUUUGACGUUCAGGGUUGGACUAAAUCCUUUGGGAUAAGGUAUCAUGGAGGGUGAGAAUCCCGUAUAUACCAACCAUAGGGAUGUUAUUUAAUACGUUUCUAAGAGUCGAGUUGUUUGGGAAUGCAGCUCUAAAUGGGUGGUAAAUUUCACCUAAUGCUAAAUAUAAGCGAGAGACCGAUAGCGAACAAGUACAGUGAUGGAAAGAUGAAAAGAACUUUGAAAAGAGAGUUAAAUAGUACGUGAAAUUGUUGAAAGGGAAACGAUUGAAGUCAGUCAUGCCAGUGGGAAUCAACUUAGAGGAAACUCUAGGUGCACUUCUUCGCUUGGCAGGUUAGUGUCGAUUUUGGAUGUCAUAAAAUGACUGGGGGAAGGUAGCUCCUUUGGGAGUGUUAUAGCCCUUGGUAGAUGUGAUGUCUGGAAUCGAGGAUUGCAACGGAUACCCUUUAGGGCUAGUCACCUGAUCUCUAAUUAGUGCUAGAUUACGGACAGCAUGCUGACCGUGAUUUAAUUAUUGGUUAAAAGGUUAGAGUGCACAUAAAUUCGUUAAGGACACUGACGUAAUGGCUUUAAACGACCCGUCUUGAAACACGGACCAAGGAGUCUAACAUGUAUGCGAGUGUU
rnacentral:rRNA from 1 species